CCUACGGGAGGCAGCAGUGGGGGAUAUUGCACAAUGGGGGGAACCCUGAUGCAGCGACGCCGCGUGGGUGAAGGAGGGUUUCGGCGCGUAAAGCCCUAUCGGCAGGGAAGAAGAUGACGGUACCUGACCAAGAAGCCACGGCUAACGACGGGCCAGCAGCCGCGGUAAUACGUAGGGGGCAAGCGUGAGCCGGAUUGACGGGGUGUAACGGGGGCGCAGACGGCAAUGCAAGCCAGGAGUGAAAGCCGGGGGCCCAACCCCGGGACUGCUCUUGGAACUGCAUGGCUGGAGUACAGGAGGGGCCGGCGGCAUUCCUAGUGUAGCGGUGAAAUGCGUAGAUAUUAGGAGGAACACCGGUGGCGAAGGCGGCCUGCUGGACUGUGCCUGACGUUGCGGCCCGCAGGCGUGGGGAGCAAACAGGAUUAGAUACCCCUGUAGUC
rnacentral:rRNA from 1 species